UAACAUUUCAAUUUAUUUAUUUAUUUAAGUAUUUAAUUUAUUUUAAAAGUAAAAAAACUUUUAUUUAAAAGAAAGACGACAAGACCCUAUUAAACUUAACUUUAGUUAAACUGGGGCAGUUAAUUAAAUAUAAUUUUAAUACAUUUUAAUUUUUUAAAAAUCUAUAUAAUUAAUAAUUUAGUUACUUUAGGGAUAACAGCAUAAUUAAUUUUUAAAGACCUUAUUUAAAAAAUAGAUUAUGACCUCGAUGUUGAAUUAAUAACCUUAUUAAAGCAAAGUUUAGAGUUAGGAAGUCUGUUCGACUUAUAAAUAAUUACAUGAUUUGAGUUCAGACCGGUAUAAGCCAGGUCGGUUUCUAUCUUCUUUAAUAAUUUAUAGUAGUACGAAAGGACCUUAUAAUAUUUUAAAUUAUAUUGGCAGAUAAGUGCAUUAGAAUUAGAAUCUAAUUAAU
rnacentral:rRNA from 1 species